CAGCAGCCGCGGUAAUACAGAGGGUGCGAGCGUUAAUCGGAUUUACUGGGCGUAAAGCGUGCGUAGGCGGCUUUUUAAGUCGGAUGUGAAAUCCCCGAGCUUAACUUGGGAAUUGCAUUCGAUACUGGGAAGCUAGAGUAUGGGAGAGGAUGGUAGAAUUCCAGGUGUAGCGGUGAAAUGCGUAGAGAUCUGGAGGAAUACCGAUGGCGAAGGCAGCCAUCUGGCCUAAUACUGACGCUGAGGUACGAAAGCAUGGGGAGCAAACGGGAUUAGAUACCCCUGUAGUCCCUGUCUCUUAUAA
rnacentral:rRNA from 1 species